rnacentral:lncRNA from 1 species
UCAUCUAUAGAAACAGUGUUACCUGUUAUAUUUAGCUAAUGAGGAAAUAUUGGACAUACUGGCCACUGGUUUAAAACGCUUCCACUAGUAGAAACUAGAAGCAGUUGUUUUUGGCAGAGAUGGGCAGAGUGUUGAUCAGCAUUAACCGAAAGACCUUCAAAGUCUUCUCCGUUUUUGCAGUUUCAGACAGGAAACAGCUGCACUGGGACAGGAAGUGGGGUAUGGGUACCCAGUUAGGACACAAUUGACUAUUCUGUGGCAAAUGCAUUUGGCUCCAACAAAAGGACGCUCACCCCGAGGGACCGCGGGUCAUCUUCGGACCUCCUUGGGCUGUUUUGCUGCUUUGUUCUGGCCGGCGUUUUUUUUUCUCAGGAGUCUUUAAUGUAACGUUUCCUUCCUCGCUCUGCCGCCUCCCCCCCUCCCCCGCUUCAAAGCCCCCUUUCCUGCAGAAUCCCCCUGCGUUAACUCCUCUUAUCUGCUUUGUCUUGGUGCAGAAAACAACUUUGAGGAGAUCAGCAGAAGGAACAGUUGGCCUUCAGGGCCAUUGCCUGCAGUUCCCAAAGGUUCUCCAGUGGAGCAGCAGCACAACAGCAGGAUUACAGAACCCUCACAGAGACCCAAUCAAGACCCCUACCAAGCAUUAGGCCCAAUCAGCAGCCGGCUGGCAAACCCUGGUAAGAACUUUCAGACGCUACAACACCAAACGAGAGUUUCACAAAAAACAAACUGAGGCUCCUCCUCUGUUGGGCAUGUUCACGUUAGCAUAAUAGCUUUAGCCAGCAUAUUCCAGAUCACUUUCUCCACUAUCUCCAGUCCCAGUGUCUAAUACCAGUCCCUAGUAAGCUUACAUAGUGGUGGUUAUAAAUCACUUGACUGAAUUAGCUAUAGCCAGUUAGCUUUCCUGUUCAGGAGAAAAGUAGCAGCUCUGGGUCGGUCUUGUAGUCUUCUUUACCUUUCGAACUCACUGCCAAUAAUCGCUCUUUAACACCAAUUGUUCGCUGUAGUGUAUCGUACUGGCCACCUCAGGGGUUGAGUUAACGUUGGGGAACGAGCAGAUACCUGUGAUGCACUGCACUGUCCAAAUAGGAAAGUACUGCCUGAAGCCCUGAUGAAAAGCUGCCAGUGCUCUAACUUAACAUGUUUUCUUAAUAUCUGAUGAUACAUCCUGAUCAUUUUAUCAUUUACUAAUGAAAAUUAGUUACAUAUUGGUCCUUUAAUAAUGCAACACCCUCAGAUGAAGGCAUUAGUUGGCGAACCCUAUUUUAGUGAUCUUUAGGUGAGCGGUCAACCAUGCACCGAGCAGCUUGAUUGGCGUAGAUAUAUUCAGAAUCACUGUUGCUAUUUAAACAAGGCAGGUGGAAGAUGAGAAAAUAGACUAUUGGUCGAGUGUAAGAUAGCAAUGAGCAUCGCGACGCAUCUUACGCAGGGGGUAAGAUAAAGCCCUAAGUGUGUUCACAUGCACAUCGUAAUCAGAUUUCUGCAGUACAUCCCAGUUUAUUAGUAAUCCGAUCAACCCGCUUCGUGGUCUUGGGUAUUCAGAUAAUGUGAAAACUUAUAUAAACGUUUAUAUAUAUAUCUGCCUUGCAACCAGCCAAUCAACUCACAGAAUAAGACGUGACAAUUUUUUUUUUUACAACCAGAAUG